rnacentral:snRNA from 1 species
AAUUACAAAGGUUGGAAAAAUGC